rnacentral:lncRNA from 1 species
AUGUGGAGAGGCAGACAGAUGAGCUUUGAGGCAGGAGUGCUUCAGGGUCCUGCUGGUUCCUGUAAGGGCUGCUGCAGCUCUCCUCAGCGUCGUCUUGAGGGACGGCGGAGGCUGAAACCAGAAGCCUUACUGGAGCUUAAUUUCUGCCUUUGCAAGCCCAGGCCCAGAAUAGAAGGGGGGCAGGGGGAUAGCAGGAGGGUUUGUUCCUCCGCCGCGCCGGGCGCGGGCCCCGGGGGCCCGCGGCCGCCCGCCUACCCCAGCGACCAGCAGGCGGAGCUGCAGGGAGCGGGUCCCCGCCGGAGCCGGGGGGAGGGGAAGGAAGCGGAAGGAGCCGCCGCCGCGCUGAGGGGAGCAGACGCUGUGCGGAGCCGCCACCGCCGCCUCUGCCUGGCGCGGGCGCAACGAGCAGGGGACGUGGCUGCUGCGGCCGGCGGCGUCCGCCGCGCGUGGGCGCCAGGACCUUUGACUUCUGUGAAUGCCUGGUCCUUCACUCUUCUACACAGUCUGUAGAGAGUUCUGGCUGCUGUACGGGAGGAGAAUCUUGGCUAGUUCUGUCAUCUUCUCCUUUGAUGCAGAUAGCCUCUCUAUCUGGCCUCCUUGAAGUAGUCUGGAACCUGGAUACAGUUCUCUAAUUGACUUCUCCCCAACAUUUCUAACAACAUUUGCUUUGUUUGUAUGUUGUUCAAAUUUCUAAGCUCAUCUUUCCAACCAUAAGGGAUAGAAUUUUUAAGAGAUUUACAUUCUUCAGAAAAUACUAGUGUAGGUCCUCUUAUUUGCUGAAGAAAGCUUACUGCCCAUUGAUAAAGUGCAGUUUUUUUCUAGUUUUCAGCUAAUAUAUUAUGCUUAUAUAAACCAGUGUUAUACGCUUAUGGAAGUGGAGAGAUGGAAGCUCUAAAAGCUGCCUUUUGCAAGAAAACUGAUACAUUUUAUUUGCAUGAAAACAUUUUUGGUUCUGUUUUUUAAAAAAAUUAAAAUUUCAAAAUAUCUUUAUUAGGUGUAAGAUUAAACUUGAAGUUUCGUUUAAUUUUCUACUGUACAAUGUACUUACAGGACCAAAAGGAUGACUUAUAAAAAUAUUUUUCUUAUUUGCAAUACCUGCAAUAAAAAAAUGAAUCUUUAAUUUUCUUUUGGGGUG